CAGGACUCUGGAGAGACUCCGUUAAACGGAGCACCGAAGGGGCAAUACGCGCGCAGGCAAGGUAAUCCAAUGAACCGCCGCGUUUAAAACUCUCAGGUAAAAGGACAGGGAUU
rnacentral:ncRNA from 1 species